GGGUGGAUGGAUGGAUGGGUGGAUGGAUGGAUGGGUAGAUGGAUAUCCUCCAGCAGCUCACAGCCUAAUGGGCCUCUAAGUCAGAGAGUCAGGAGCACGGAAGUGGAAACCCUGAGACUAGAGUCUAGCUCUGAACCUGUCCUGCUGUAGAACCUUGAACAAACAGUCUGCCUGGUUCUCAUUUGUUCAUCUCUAAACAGGAGUAAUACUAUUCAAUUUCCCUGGACCCUGCAGCUGCUAUUCUGUGGAAACAGUCCCUAUAUGAUCUUUGCCAGAGUGGCUAUGGGAACAGCUCUGUGCUUCUUUUUAAAACUAGACACAGGCAGCACAACUGGGAUCCUGGCUUAAUUUCACUCUGGAUGAGGAAAGACAUCGCAGCAAUGAAGACUAUGGAUUUGGCUUUUCAACAUGGCUUUGACCAGGAAAAGGAGGGCAAAUCGUCGGCCAUUAUUAACCACUGUCUCUACCCCCUCUCCAAGAAAAGUAGAGCAGGAUCCAAUUACCAAGCCCUGGGAGCUGUCCACAUCAGAUUUCAGUUGAUUCUUUAAUGGUCUCGAUUGCUGUGGACAAGUUAGUGGCUCCUGGAAGAGCGACACCUCCAUGCUGCUGGAUGUUUCCGAGCCACCCCCGUCAGCUGGAUGGUUUGUCCCCAUUUGGCAGAUGUUGGUGCUAAGACCGAGGGGCUAAUGAGUGGGCAGGUGACUAGAUCUUUGCCCUUCUCCGUCCUGCGCUUUCCACAUCGGGGCUGACAUGUCAGACCAGCACCACGAUGUCUUCUUUCUGGAGCAGCCACUUUGCUGGAAGACUUUUUUGCCAGGGAGUGUAGGGUAUGCUGGGUCAGUCCUGUUUGGGUCUAUGAUUUCUACCAGUUGAGAUCUAUCAAGAGGGUGGCUCGUGAGGUACUGAGAGCCACGUUGAGUGCUUCACAUGAAUUAUUAGCAAGUGGUUACCUCCCAGCACUCCCUGAGGCAGUACUGGUAUCAUCCCCCUUUUGUAGCUGAAGAGACUGAGGCUCAGAGAGGGUAAGAGGUUUGCCCAAAGUUACACAGCACAAUAUUCAUUUGCUAAUUCACACACCUGGGGCACUUAGCACGAAGGCUUAUUGCUCCUCUGUUUUUAGAGCUGGGAGGGGACUUUAUAAACAAUUUAGUCAUAAAUGCAAGGUAUCCUGGAACAGAAAGAGGUCAUUAGUGGAAAAAUGAGUGAAGUCCAAAUAAAGUUUGGAGUUUGAUUAAUAAUCAUAUACCAAUGUUGGUUUCUUAGUUGUAACGAAUGUACCACGGUAAUGUAAAAUGGUAGCAUUAGAAGAAACUGAGUAAGGUACCUAUGGGCUCUCUCUGUACUAUCUUUGCCACUUUUCUGUAAAUCUAAAAUUAUUCCGAAGUAAAAAGUUUAUUUGAAAAAAGAUUUAGUUUACACUUCCCGAAUUUUCAGUGAGAGGAAGCUCUGACCGAGACCGGGAAAUAGCAGCCAAGUAGCUGCAAGCUACUCCUGACCUCCGGGGUCCUAGGUGCGUGGGCCGGCGUGUGAUGGAUCAAUUUCACCCUGUCAAGUCAGGGACACAAGCAGAACUGCUGGACACAUUCAUCUUCUCAACAGCAGAUGAAAUGGUGUAGUGGUGACCAGAAUAAACUCAGUACCUGGGCCAGAGAGAACGUUCUUCCACACUCAGAGAUGAGCCCUUCAGCGUCUCUGCAGGCUCCUGUGACAUUGAUUCCUGGGCUCAAGUGAUCCUCCUGCUUCAGCCUACACAGUAGCUGGGAUUUCAGCUAUCAAUGCCCCAGAAACAGUCGCACCGUCCAACUGGGUCCCAGAGUGACAAUGACAUGGUGGGCAGAGCAGCAGCCAACCUGUGAUGGACGUGGAGGGUGAGUGAGAAGUUAAACUUUUGCUGUUUGAAUUGGGUGCUGUUUGUUACUGUGGCAUAACCUAGCCCAUUCUGAUGAAUAUGCCAGUAAACAGGUUGCCAUAGCCAUGAGGAAAGAGCUGGAAAUGAAAUAAAUAAUGUUCUGUGGGAACACAGAGAGGGGAGGAGAGAGCAGAGAUUAACCCCAUAGGGAGAGUUCUCUAACACUUUUGACUUUUAAUCUUGAACUCAUUUACUCCUUCCGAUGAAUGAGGUAGGAAUUAUUAUCCUCAUUUUUCAGGCAAGGACCUUUCAGCUCAGAGAUGUUAAAUUUCUCAGUGUCAUUCAGCUUGUCAUGAAUGGAGCUAGUAUUCAAACGUAGGUCUUCCCGAUGCCUACACCCUAGCUUUUCUUUUAAAAAAAAAUUGUAUUAAUAAUAGCUAACACUUAUGUAGCACUUCCUAACAAGAGCCUGAUAAUACUCUAAGAGCAUGAAUGAACUCCUUUGACCCUCAUAUCAAGCUGAUGAGGUAGGUAUAUUAUUAUCCCCAUUUUACAGAUGAGGAAAUUGAGACCAAGUGACUUGCCCCACAUCACACAGCUGGCGUUGGAAGCCCAGACAUCUGGCUCCAGAGUCCACGCUCUUAACCGCUGCACUUACUCUGCCUGGUUCUUCCAGGCUCAGGGAGGACACAGAUGAGCACCCAGAGACAUCCUCCCUCUGUGUGCUUUGCGUGGGUGAGCUUGCCAGCACCCAUGGCUUUACCCAUCAUGCCUCAAUGCCCACAUCUUCAGCGCAUACCUCCUUCCACUUCCCAUUAAACCUCUGUGCCUGCGUGUCUGGUGGGCAUCACAAACAACUUCCAGUCCUCAGUAGGUCAUCGUCGGACCCCAGUCCACAAACUUCCAAGUGAUCCUCCUGCUGGAAAUCUGGCCAGGUCUUCCCAUAGCACAGGCACCCUUGCUAUUUCUUCUCCUCUCUAUUUCUCCAGCUUCAUCUUCCUCCCCUUCCUUUUGCUAUCUCCCUUUCUAGAACAUCCUUCUCUGACUGACUAACGCCCGCUGUCCUUUAAGACUGAGGUCAAUAGCAGCUCUAUGCACGACAGCCCUAGACCGGAAACAACCCAGAUGUCCAUCCACUGGUGAAUGGAUAAACCACUGCAGUGCAUCCGUGCAGUCGACCAAAAAGAACACACUGAUACACACAACGACAUGGGUGAAUCUCAAAAGCACUGGGCUAAAUGAAAGAAACCAGAAAUAAAAGACUAUAUACUGUAUGAUUCCAGAAAGUUCUAGGAAAGGCAAAACCUUAACAACAGAUAACUGACCAAUGGUUUUUCAGGGGUUGGGAUGGGUGGCGGGGAUUAAGUGCAAAGAUGCACAAAGGAAAUUUUGGGGGUAAUAAAUAUAUUCUAUACCAAGAUUGUGGUGGUGUUGACACAGGUGUAUACAUUUGUCAAACUCAUAGAAUUUAAAAUGUGCACUUAAAACAGAUGCAUUUAAGUUUUGUAAACGAUACUUCAAUAAAGUUGAUCUUUUAAAAAAAGCCCUUGUUCAGGGCUUCGGGCUCUGGGAAGCCUUGCAGGCCCCUUAUCGCUGCCUUAGCCCUCCACACCCUGUAUUUCAUGGACUGAUUUCUGGUUUGUGUCUAGCACUACACUCUGAGCUCCCUGAGCCUCUUUUCUCAGCUAGCCCAGUGGCUAGAACUCCCUGGAUACUCAGCGAGUCUUUGCCGAACAAAGAGUUAUGAGCGACUUGCCAAAGUAACGGUGCUGCCUUAAGAAAUCUUUCCUUGCUUUUAGGACAAAAUUCAAGCCCCCAGUUACUUGGGCUGGAAAAAUUUCUGGCUAGAAUGCUACAGGCUGGAUGGAAUCUCAGUGAACAAUCUCUGUGGUGCCAAGAAAGGUCAACCAGAGGGUGUGGAUGGUCUCUGACCACCCAUCACUGUUCCUGGUGGGUACUCUGAGCAGAGGGUCUCUGGGCCACCGUCACCUCCAUGUCCCCUUACUGUCUCAGUUGUCAUAUUGCACAUCCCAGAACAUAAACAUAAGCCCCAGGAGGAAGGGGCUGUGUUGGUUUUUCUCAUUGCUGUUUCUCUAGUGCCCAUAGUGCUUGGUACACAAUAAAAUCAUAAUAAUAUUUUUUUACAUGAGUAGAUUGUCAAGUAUGAAUGCCUGGAAUAACUCAGCCUCAAGCCAUCCUCCCACCAUGGCCUCCCGAGUAGCUGGGACUGCAGGUGCACACCGCUGUGCCUGGCAUUUUUAUUUCUGAGAUGCUGAAAUGGAGGAUAGCCCCGGUGAGGAUCAUUUCCC